AAUUGGAAAGGAAAGUCAUUAAGGGUAAUUUCCCUGAUGGUUUCACGCAGAAACGUGAAUUGGAAAAAAUGGGAUUGAAAUCCCUAAUCCCCAAACUUCUCCUCCUUCAAUGGCAGUGGCGGUAAAGGGCACCGUUCGUGGCUAGGACCAGGCGGGUGUGAUUCGCGAUAAUGGCAAAGGAGGGCGCGACGGGGAAGUGACAGUGAAUGACCUUCAUCCUCCAGCGGCGAUGAACAACAAUCACGACCAAGGGUGGUUCAGGGUUGUAGCGCGGUGGUGUAUAUUUGCGAGUUCUUCUUCUCUUAAUCAUCACGGGUUUCAUUUUUCGGUUCGUAAAGUGCUUAACCCAAAGUACCUCUAAUUCGAAAUGGGUACAAAGGAUGGUGAGUUAUGGUUUUUUUGGUGUAACGAUGAUAGAGCCACUAAUGGCUGACUCUGAAUCGGGUAACUACUACUUCAUUAAUUUUUGUCAAUUCAUUGCCUUAAGUUGAUUAUCAGUUUUCUUGCUCUUCCAUGAACUCAUACAAUUUUGAUUGAUCUUUACAAAAUGUUAAUCCUGAGUCAUUGACCCAAAGUCAGCUAGAGAAUAUCAAAGAUAUACGCUGUAUCGACUGAACCGAGGCGUCUUCCAUUGGUGAUUAUUCGCAACCGAACAGAGGAGAGGUAAACAUUCUCCUUAUUUCUCAUGAAGCCUUACCGAUUGUAUGAGUUUUGUUAGUGUUCCAGAUUAGUAAUGAUAAAGGAAUAAUCUUUUUACUAUUGAAUUCUUGCCUAAUCCUUAGGUGAUGGUACUAAUUGAUGGAAACAUAUAGGCUAAAACAAAUUUCAAUCAUCCUUUUUACUUUCCAAUCCACACUAUAUGUAUACGUGUUUUUUGUGUUAUGAUCGAUUAUAAACAGUUAUGAAUUAAUCAUACAAGUCUAACGUAUAAGCCAUACAAAGUGUGGAGUGUUCAUAAAACAAAAUUUAUGGUUUGAGUGCUUACCUGAGUACGCUCUCCUUCCUGUGUUGUAGGUGUAUGUAGCCUGAUAUUUCUGUGUGCUGGUAUAGGCCUGGAUUUUCUGAUUGGUUACGAGCUUUGUACGUCACUCUGCUUCUAUGUAAUUCGGUUUAUUUUCUUUAUAUAGCUCUCUGAUUUAUUACGUGUAUGAUAUCUGUGUUGUAAUCUCUGCCUCUAUUGCGAUGUAAAUGUGUCUGUAAUCUUUGUUCUAUUUUUAUCACUGUUGCAAUGUCUCUCUGAUUUAUGUAUGCUGGUGUAUAUCUCGUUUCUGUUUUUUGUUUCUGGAUGCUUUACUACACUACCUCUUGGCUGAUUUCUCUUGUGGUUAUGUAUGUGUAGCUAUGUUGUGUGUCCCUGAAUGUGAUCUUAUCUACACGUUGCUUUUACUGAUUUCCUGUUGAGUUCCUGCUUUUGUUCUCUGAUUCCUGCCUUUUGUUCUCUGGUUCCUGCCUCUGUGUGUAUUUGGACUGAUUUGUAUCUGCUUGAUCUUUCCUAUUUUUGUGUUCUCUUUUCUCACGGAGUCCCAUUCUUGAUUUUUAUGAUGAUGUAUCUGUGACUAGUAGGUGCAUGUUUGUGAUAUCUCUCUUUUUCGUUUCUCUCUCCUUUUGUGUGUAUCUCUUAUAUCCCUUCUUUUUUUGUCCUUUUUUGCUUUUUUUAUUGGCUAUUUUUGAACACCCUCAAAUGACAGUCGUAAGUGCAUAAAAGCAUGAUUCACCCUCGAAGUUUGAAGGCGAGGAUUCAAGAUCUUGCUUCUGCUUGGUAGAGGGAUUUUGGAUUAAUCAAUGAUGAGCAACUUUAGUCUUGCCCAAGUUAUAGGUUUCUUGGUACUUUCAUUCGAGAAAUGGGGUCAGCCCCCAUAAACUGCCCCAGUUUGGAUUGAUGUCGUUCGUUUGAUUUCAACUUCUCAUGUGUUUUCUUCAUGCACAACUCCUUAAAAAUAAAUACUAAAAACAGUGAUCAAGCAAAUUUGGAUUAUUUUUUUUGGGUUUUGAGUGUUGAUAUGGUGGUGGUGAUGAUGAAAGAUUGAGAUUUAAUCCGAUGCAUUAAAGAUGAGAUAUUUUCAUCAAAACUUUAUGAUAUUUAUUGGAGUCAGCAUUUCUUUGCCCUAGUACAUUUCUUAGGCAAAUCAUAUUCUCGACAAGGUCUUUUGAGCUUGUAUCGUAGCCUGGCUAGGGAUUUCAAAGAAAAAGGAUAAGGCUCGAAAAUGUCUUUCCCAAACCCCUUUCUACAUUCUCCUUUCUCCAUUGUCCUAUUUCAACAGUUUUCUUGACAUGACAUUCCAAUACUAAGAUUUUGUUGGAUUUUUGUGAUGUAGUAGGUGAAUGCCUAAUAUUUAGGCGAUAAUCUUCCCGAGAGGUAUUUGAAUUGUUCCUUUUUGUGGUCAUUGAUAGUGCACUUUAUUUUCCGUAACUUUUGCCUGAGAUUUUUAUUGAGGAUUCUCUGCGGGCCUUUUGUAUAUUUUUCCUUUUGUUUUUUUAUGUUAUUUUUCACUUUGACCGAUGAACUUUUUUAUUUGAAUUGCUUAGGAUUUUUAUCCCUCGGGUUAGAUUUGGAAAUAAUAGAGUGUAUUUAUUUCUUAAUAAUUGAAUGCCAAGGAAAACAAUUGAGAUACUACCCUGCCCAAGGUUGUUGAUAUUUUGCGGGUUUUUAGAAAAAUCUCCUUUCAUAAAGCCUAGGGCUCAAAUGGGUGACUAGGGAUAUCUUCAUAGUGUUUGGGAUUUUCAAAGAUGCCUUGUGUCAUCAGAAAGAUUUGCCUUAGAACAUGUACCAUUCUGGAGAAAAAUCUGCCUAAGAAUUUGCACCAUUAUGGGUCUUACAUUUACAUCAUCCUACAUUUCAUUUAAAUUACUGAAUCAAAUAUAUCACAUUAAUGCAUGAAAUUUGGUUUUUGAUUUUUUUUGUUGGAAUGAGAUUUGUGCAAUGAAGUAUGAGAUGGUAAAUUCGCAUGAUCAAUGCAUUAGUAUGUUCUUCUAAAAAAGAUAUGCCGUCGAGAAUCAACUUUCUUCUUGAAAUGGAGACAUGGGAUCUCGUUGUUUGAUGACGCCAAGCCUUGGAGAGAGCAGUAGGGGUUUCAAAAUAUGAUCUGACUCAUGAGUUCCUCGAGGACUGCCAACUCUGACUUGAUUCUCUUGAUUUGAUUAUGCCAUGAGUCUUUAUUGAGGACGAUUGUUAUAAGGGUGCUUAGAAGCAAUGAGGAUGUGACUUGUUUUGGGUUUGUUGAGGAAAAUGUAUUUUGUUUGUGUUAGGACGGUGUUUUGGGAGUUGUGAGGGUGUAUGGUAUUGAAAUGUAUUGUAUGGAUAUGAAUUUUGAUAUGAGUAUGAAGCUUUGGAGUAUGGAUUUGGUGGUGUAUGCAAUUGUGUAUUGAAAUGCAUGGUAUGUUAUUGCAUGAAAAUGCAAUAGUGAAAUGAUUUUUUUUGCUUCAUUUUAUAGUCAAUGAUGAAGGUGCAUGAAUAACUUUAUUUUUUACUUUUUAGAUAAUGUAUGAUGUAUGAAAUGCAAUAUGUGAUAGUGCAUGAAAUGCAAUGUUUGAGUGAUUUUUUAUGAUGAAUCCAUGCAUGAGUAGAGGAUAUAUUUUUUGUAUGAUUAGAUGAGUGAAUGUUUGAUUUCUUGUAUGAGUGUUGGAAUGUUGACUUUUUUUAUGAAUGUUUGAAUUAUGCAUGAUAUAUUUUUUUGUUUUUUGAUGAAUAUUUGAAUAAUGAAAUUUUAUUUUCUGCUUUUUGAUUUUCUGAAUGUAUGUAUGAAUGUGUGAAUGAAUGAUUUACGAAUUUUAAAUUUUAUGAAUUUAUGUAUCAAUAGAUGAACGAAUGACUGAAUGAUAUUUUGGCUUUUAACUCAUUAUAUGAAUGGACGAAUAUUUGAAUGAUAUAACUUUUAGAAUGAUAUAUAUUUUGAUUAAUGUAUGAGUGCAUGACAUGCAUGAACUUGAUAUAGUAGUGUUAAUGCAUUUUGAAUGCCCCUUGGGUAUGAUAGACCUUAUUUAGGGAAAAUAUAACCUUAGUUACAAUAUAAUAAAAUGUCAUGAUGAAUUUCACCCCUAUCAUAUUGUUAAGGCCAAUUCUUGAAUUAACUGAUAAAGUUGUGAGCUUAUUCAGAUGAAAGAGAAUACAUACCUAGGGCGAUGAUUUCAUCGACAAGAAUGAAAAUUGUCCCUACAGCGUUGAGCUCAUGGUAGGGUAUGAAAAUUAUCCCUAAGGCGCUUAGCCCAUGGUAAGGAACAAAAAAAAUUAUCCCUAGGGCGCUUAGCCCAUGGUAGAGAACGAAAGAAUUAUCCCUAGGGCGCUUAGCCCAUGGUAAGGAAUGAAAACAAUAUCUCUAGGGCACUUAGCCCAUGGUAAGGAAAUGAACAAUUAUCCCUAGGGCGCUUAGCCCGUGGUAAGGAAUGAAAGAAUUAUCUUGCCGUCCUUAUAGAAUAAGGACAUGAAAGUGCAAUAAUAUCCUCGUAACACUCUGACACGAGGACUUUUUAGGGACAAAAGUCCCAAUUUAUAAAUGGUGAAGGAUAAAGUUUGGGUUAUGCAUCUUGUGUCCUAAAUAAGGUACACUUAUAAGGUUCCGGAUAGUCUAAAGGUCACAACCCUAUGGGGAUGGUACUAAGUCUUGAUUAAAGUGGAUACGGUAAUAACUUCAGACUUCUAGGUCACCAGAUCGCAUCCAAUCUCGAAGGAAAGGAAACCAAAUAUCGCGGGCUAGAAACGAGAAGGAUCGAGCCCUCCAAGCCGCUAACUCAUGAUACCGGAAACGAUCUGGGUGGUCCAUUCUGCCAAUACCAGAUAUGACUCGAAGUCACUUACCGACAAAGCAGAUGUCCCUUCUAUCUCAAAUCCUAAGCACUAAUACCCGGGUCAAGGCAUAUGUGUGUGUGCAAACUCAAGUGUACAACAUUAGUGUGUGAGGAAGCAUACAAACCUUUUCUUAAAAAUAAAUUACCACCCCCAAAAACUACAAAAUAAUUAAACAGGGAGUUCACAGAUAAUAAAUAAAAUAAAAGUAAAGCAUAUAAUAAUUGUAAAAAAUACGGCAAACAAAAUAUGGGUAAUUAAGUCCAUGAGUUAGCGGUUCUAGGCCUGACCCUCUUAUGGGUGUCCCUAGUGGAGUCGCCAGCUAUCGCGACCCGAUUUUCGGUUGGAAGACCGGCUCUAUGACUUAGGGAGAGGCGAAUUCGGAUUUUACCUCUUCCAAUUGAUUUGGAGUCGCCACUAAGUUUUUUGCGGUUAAAACGUAGAAAACUCUAAUAAGCCCAAUUAGAAUAAAAUGGUCUUUAGACAGAGAUUCUGAGCUCGGGAGUCGAUUGCGGAUCGGGGAAGGUAUUAGCACCCCGUCCGCCCGUAUUAAAACGGUACCCUCGCUAAUAACAUGGACUUUUAUACCCUUAACAAUUAUUUAUUUAUAAUUAUUUAUUUUUAUUAUUGAGCUUGACAAUAUUGACUUUGGUCCUUCGUGCCCCUAUUAAGGAGAUCAAAGCUUACGUAGUUCUAGUUGGAAAAUUGUUUAGCCACUUUGGUUAAUUGUUAAUGUUUUAGAAAAUAUCGAUUAAUUUAUUGAAUUGGUUAAUGUAUAAUUUUUUGAUUUAAUGAGACUAAUAGUUUUAGAGACGGUGUAGGUCGUAGACCUUCUCCUCGUUUUUGGGGGAGUUAGAGACGACUCGAACCAUAACCUUACUAUAAAAAUCCCAAUUUAUUCGGUAGAAUAGUUUUUAAUUAUUCGUGCAUUUAGAAUUUGGAUGAUAAAAUAGUUUAUAUAUAGAAUUAAUAGUAGUAUUUUAGGCCACUCUAGUGCUUUGUGCAGUCUGGUGGUAUCUCUUUUAUGGAAUUGGCAUGGUCCCUAUAGGAUUAUCCUUCUCAUGUCGCGGCUACUUAGUAAUGGAUUUCCUACAAAUUUUCAGCAUUUCAAAAGAGUUGUGGCUCUUUCUGCUGCCCGCCCUUGUGUUUAGAGGCAGAAACUUCAAUCCAUCUAUUUUAGGACUAUCUUUGGUUCAGGGACAUCUAGAUGUCCCUUCUCAAAAUCCCUGAUGGCCACUCCUUUUUUUAGGUGUUUUAAUUGAUUGGUUGGCUUUUAACCUGGACUGCGCGAAGUUUUCAGUUGGGGGAAUUUGAUAAGUGUCAAACAUACCUAAAUUUCAUACACUUUUAUGGCACUUAUCUUAAGCAUAAUUGAGAAAAACCAACUUAAAACAAUACUUUUUGUAUAAAAUAUCACAAUCUUGUAUAUUUUUGUUUGUAUUUCUUUUUAUGUAUUUUUUAGGAUUUAGAAAGAAGAAAAGAAGAGAAACAAAAGACUCAUGGUCAAAAAGAAAAAGAAGUCAAAAUCAAGGUGCUCAAACAGGCAGCUGAUUGUGGAUCAAGCCACGCUAAGCUGACAUGGACACCAGUCUGACCUGGACACCAGCCUGACCUAGACCAAGCUGCCCAAGCAAGCAGUUGAUCAGACCUGCUUGGCCGCUCAACCUAGCACCAGACUAGUCCUAGCAUGAUCAGACCUCAAGCUUGACACGGUCAGACACGAGCUUGGCACAUGCCCGAGCUGCUGAACAAGCAGCUUAGCAGUCCAACAAGCAGCUUAGCGGAGAACCAGACUCCGGCCCCGAUAGAGGCCACGUCCCAGUUAGCACGGUCAAAGCUACUGAACAAGCAGCUUAGUGGCACAACAGGUGUGCUAAGCGGUGUGCACCCAGACUUGACUUAGCCAACAAGCAAACCAUGAAGUCACCAAUGACCUUACCUUAAGUAGCCUACCAUAGGCUUUCUAGAGUAGCUCACAAUAGCUGGUUUCAUAGCUCACAACUAGCUUUGAUGAGUCAAGCAUAAGGAGGUGACAAAGCUGCUUGAUCAAUGGACCAAACCCAUGUUGAAGGGUUUGGUCAGCUGCUUAGCGGGACUGACAAGCAGCUUAGUGGCCCAAAAGAAUUUCUAUAAAUAGGGAACAUUCCAUUCGAGCAAAGGGCAUUAAAAAAAUCAGAUAAUAUCUCUCACAUUUCACUCACAUUUUGCCUAGAAAUUCUUCUUCUCUGAAGUUCUCUCUUCUUGGUCUUAGCUCUUAGGAACUUUAUGUAAGUAAGUUUUGUAAUUUUAGUUUAUAAUUCAAGAGGAGAAAAGGAGAAGGCAAAUGAGAUGCAAAAAUCAAUUUUGUAAUCUCAUUUGGAACUCAAAGCAUCCAAUCCUUGGAUGGAUGGCUCAUGCUCCUAACAAUUUCUUUUGAAUAUGGUUAUGUAUUACUACUUCUUCUUAUAUUCUAAAGUUUGAAUUUUAAUCAUUCAAGUUGGUGCUUUGAUUAAUUUUACUUGUUUGAGAAAUUCUUAAUGCUCUUUUUAGAUUGAUCACCUAAAAAUUGAUUUCAAGUCAUAAAAUUACUUGUCUCAAACACUUAACAAAUAAACUAAGAAGUAGUUGUACUACUUAGUUUAUUUUCCAAGUUAAUNNNNNNNNNNNNNNNNNNNNNNNNNNNNNNNNNNNNNNNNNNNNNNNNNNNNNNNNNNNNNNNNNNNNNNNNNNNNNNNNNNNNNNNNNNNNNNNNNNNNUUUAUUUAUUCUUUAAUACCAACCUUCCUUAAGGAAGAAGUUUGGUUUGUUAAUAAAAGGAACCCGAAAGGGAGUAAAUAAAUAAAGGUCACUUAAAUUUAUUAUUCUUUUGUUCUUUAUUUAUUUAUUUGUUUCUAACAACUAACUAUUCAUCAGUUUUGUACAUUAGAAUACCAUUAAACUGGUGUUGGAAUUUAUUCCACAAAACCGAGAUGGUAUUCAAAGGUACUUAAUAAUUAUGUAAUAGGGGAUUGCUUCGAUACCAUUGUACCGGCGUUAGAAUCUAUUCUAACAAAGCCGAGAUGGGGCAAAGAAUGAAUAACUUAUUCACAUGAUUAUUAAAAGUAAGUUGUAACUGGAAUAUUCUUGAAACCAUUAUACCGGCAUUGGAAUUUAUUUUAACAAAGCCGAGACGAUGAACAAAGAAUAAAACCGAGUUCACUUACUUAAUCAAAUAAAAAGAAAACACACCGAAAUGAGAAAGGGAAAACCAAAACCCCUCAUUCCUUCCUCAAAAAUUAUCUUUCAACAUUGCUCCUACUAGGGAAGGUGAGGAAUGAGCUUUGGUUUUUGGUAUAGCAGUGGAGUCUAUUUGGAGAAGCAGGAAUCUGCUUAUUUUUUAGAGUGAAGUGGAUAUCCCAGGUUGGCUUAGUGCAGAGAUAUAAGCCCGUUGCCAAAGCACUUCCUUAGCUAUGCAGUGUCUUGCCUUAACAACUUUGAAAUCAAGUAAUCCUAAUGCGUCAAUCAUUCGGUAGUUCCCACCAGAUGCUGGUUUGGUUAAGUUAAAUACGGAUGAUGCUUUCUCAGUGACUAGAAAUCUGGCUGCUUGUGGAGGAGUGGUGAGAGAUCAAUGUGGGGUUUUCCUCUUUGCGUACGGUAAUCGGCUGGGGCAGUUUUUAGUGGUCCAGGUCGAGUUAUGGGGUAUUUUGACGAUGUAACACCCUGACUCAACGGAAUUAAAAUAAUAGACAAGUCAAGAAAUGAUAUAUUGCAGAAUUAAAACCAUUUUGAAAAUGUGGAGUAAUUUGUUUUUUCAAAAUCUCUUUCAUAUAACAACGAACUAGAAUUUUAAAACACUCUAAAAUUUCUCAACUUGUCACGGGACACACUACCUAGUCAUAAAAAUUGUCUUUCCUUUCCUUCGGACGAUGCCACAAUCAUUCUCCAUGAAGUCACGUACUCCCUAAAAUGUUAGGAGAGUCAGUACUUCCAUAUAUGGUAUAUAAAUGACACAUAGGAUAUCAAAUUCACAUAGCAGUUAUCAUAUAAUCAUUAUCUCAUGGAUGUAAUCAAAUAUGGAAUGUCAAUGUCAUGAGGUAUUAAUAACAAUUAGGUCUAUACUGACACAACUAUUACUCUCUUAAUGAGUGCAUGGAGAAAUGAUUUCUAUAGGGCCCCUAGAUUUAAUGUUAAUACCGACACUGGUCGAACCCGACCAGUCCUAUGUUGUUCUUAGGAAGCGAUCAAGAUGAAUAAUGCAUCCUGUCCACCAUUGGUAACUCAACGACAAAAUAUCGUGUACUAGGUAGCAUCGGAAACCAUUCGGUCGACAAGGAUAAUUGCCAUAUCAUCUUGAACACAAUACCUUCAAGGGAGUGUCAGAGGUCACCGUAGUUACUGCAAGGAGUUUUGUCGGUGAAGGGGAGCUACCCUAUUCCAGACAGAUCGAUCCCCACCCGCAAUGUCCCUUCAACCAAGUCAUUCAAACUAGGUACCCCUAUGGAUUCCCUACACAAUGUUAGCAAUGUCAUAUCUUUCUGUAGACUAUGCUAUUAAGAGUAGACACAGUGAUAUGGAUCUUAUGAUCCAUGAAUGACAUGACCACGAUUCCUAUAAGAUGAACGGAGAGAAACUUUUCAAGAUAAAGACAACAACUUUAUAAAAACCAUAUUUUCACGGAAAUAAUCACUUUAUGUAAGUCAAGAGAAUGUAUUCUAAUUUGACACUUUGAAAUAAAAUAGCCUUAAACUUAUGGUUACUCAAAUCGCUUUCUUUUGACUUAGAAAAUAAAAACUUUGUUUAAAACCGCAUGCUAAUAUGUUUUCCAAACAACGUUCCACCAGUUUUCCAGUAAAACACUAUCUACAUAUGCAAAAGACUUUAACUGGCGAAAGAUAAGUAAAAUGAUUUCAUUUUCCAAGAGCAUCAUUUUAUGUAAGUUAAGACAACAUAUACUAAUUUGACACUUUGAAAUAAAACAACCUUAAACUUAUGGUUUCUCAAUUCGCUUUCUUUUGACUUAGAAAAUAAAACCUUUGUUUAAAACUGCAUGCUAAUAUGUUUUCCAAGCAACGUUCUGCCAAUUUUCUCGUAAAACACUAUCUACACUUUCAAAAGACUUUAGCUGGCGAAAGCUUAGUAAAACAUUUUUAUUUUCCAAAGAAAUCAUUCUUCUCAAACCACAUCCUUUUUAAAAUUGAUUUCAUCAGGGAUACUCGUAUGCCAUGCCAUGAUAAUACAAAAUGACAAUUUUAUCAUGAUGCAACAUAUAAUUCAACAUUCUCAAUUAUUCAUGUCAAUUAAUAUUUCAUUAUCAGGAUCAAACAAUCAUAUCAAGUAUGUAGCAAUUUCAUAUUACUUGGAAUUAUCAAAAUAACCUUAAUCAUACCAUUCAUUUCAAUUCCAAAGGUAGACAAAUAAGUAUGCUUAUUCAAACAAGAUCACAUAUUUAGCAUAAAAUCAUGUAUCAAAUAAAAUCUAUUCAACUUAAAGUUAACAAUUUAUGAGUUAAAGGGCCUCAAUACCCGAUUACUCACGGCCACAGAAAUAGUAUUCGACUAUAUCUGCUUUAGGCCUAGCUUAGAGAUGCACGAUUAUCUUUGGCAUAAUUUCUAAGCUCAUACAUGAAAGCACUUCUCUCCAUACCUGUACUUCUACUGAUCCUAUUAAUUCCUUGUCGUAGCUUGCCUGAGUGUCGAGUACCUGAUUAUGUCUAAAAUGAUUAACUUCGAUAUUUUGAAUUUAUUAUAAUUUAUUAAGAAGUUGUCCUAGUAGGCUCUAGACAUGUGAACAUAUCCAAAGAUUUUAUUUAGAUACAAUUAAAGUCUUAAUUAGGUACGAUAAAAACUUACAUGCAUAUUUGACUUAGAGACUCAAAAUUAACCCGAAAGGCUUCGAUUUCGAUAACUUGAGACAUACAUGAAUAUGGCUCAUGUGGGGUUAAAACUGAACAUAUAUAAGUUUGGUUCAGUGAGAUUAAAAGCUCUAAGUUAUCCUAGAGGUUAUUGAUUUCGAUAUAGGGUUUAGCGGUGGGGUAAAUGAUCUCUCGUUGUAGCAAAACUCAUUGAAGUGUGUCAUAACUCCUCAAGAGAGUAUUAGAACCAUUCUCACAGAACUUAGGCCAUGGUAUAUGGGAUUUAAGGUCACCCUUAGUCCAUUAGAGACAUCAUCUAGGAGUACCGGGGACCUAAGGUCGAAACCAAUGAUAUUAAUGAUGUUUGGGCUUCCCGGUCACCAUAAGACUCAUGGAUAAGCUUUGAAACCCUAAGAUUUUCUUGGAUAACACCUAAACACACCUAGAACAGAAUGACAUUAAAAACUAAGUCCAUGCAUGUGAUAGAAUUUAGUCUUAAAGGUUCACACAUAACCUACAACACCAAAAUCAUUCUUUUUGACUAACACCCUAGCUUUUUAAUAGGAUGAAGUGUGGUUUUUAUCUAGGACCCCUUGGAUUUUCGUGGUUUAACAUAAGAUAAUGCUUAAGACAUAAUUCCUUUAUGAAUCUAGGCACAUGCAUGUGAAUAUUUCUCAGCUGUAAGAACUCCUACAUACUACAACAUCUAACCCAUCAUAUUAAGCUCAUUGUCAUGGUAAGAAUGUGGGUUAGGGUUUGAAAACCUUCGAACCCCAAUAUUUAGAGGCUCAAAACCUAAAACAGAAUUAAAUUGACAUGCAAAAACGAAAGUGAAGUUUAAUGGUUCAACAACCAUUCAAGUAGAUUAAGAGAAACUCAAACAACAAAGAAACUAGCUUGAUCAACAUGCUACUAGAACUGAACAUUUAGAACAUAUUUUUGAGUAUUUAGAAGAUAUAAUUUCACUUUUUUGAGUUAAAAAAUGAGUUCUCCAUACCUCAAAAUAGUUGAAUAGCUUCUUGAUAAGGUUCUAAGGAGGAGAAUGGAGAAUUGCUAACAACCUACACAACUAAUGCCUUUACCUAAGGCAUGGAAAAUUUAAGAGAGAAAACAAGAUAUGAGAAGCUUAAAGAUUGGGAAAAAAGGCCAUAACUAUGAUUAUCAUAUCUUAGAGAGCUUGGUUUACAUGCAAGUUUGGAGUGAAAAUGUAGGUCACCCUCCCUUCCUAGUUUAAUGUUGAGAAAGUGGGGUGGAGGAGGAAGAAGAUGUUGUGUGGGUGUGUGAGACUUUUGGGCGAGGUUCAGCCCCUUAAGGGAUUUAUAUAGGAGUGGGGGGAAAGGAUGAGGUGGGUGAUUAAGGGAUAAUUACCCCUUAAUGAUGACACGUGGGAGCAUUUGUCACCUUCUUGGACUAAUCAUGCAUGCAUGUUUCUUCUUGUUUUUGUUUUGUUUUGUUUAGUUUAUGUUCUCUUUUGUGUAAAUCAUGAAUGUGUUUCUUGAAUUCUAAGACACUUUAAUACAAGUCUUAAUAGUGUGUAGAUGAGUAUAGAUGAUAGUUCAUACCUCAUAGAUUGAUAGCUUGGGCUCUAAGAAACAAGACUAGACAAGAUACAUGUACCUAGACCAAUCUAGGUACUACUGUUUUGAGAUGGGUUAAAUACCUGGGUUCAUUGGUUCUAAGAGAAUAGGUUUAGGCUCAAGAAUCACUCAAAAAACUAUCAUAAUGAAAAAGUUAUGGAUUUUCUAAGGAAUGAGAAUUUUGGCUAAUACUAGAACACGAGUUUGCACUCUAAUUGGCUUGAAUAUGACUAGAUAAUUCCAAAUGUGAUUAUAGCACUUGAAAAACAUUAACUUAUACUAUCAGAAUAAUUUCUAAGAGGUUUGAUUAUACUCAAUGUGAGAUAAAGACGAAUGCACACACUCGUAGGCAAAGUUGGCAGUAGGGUUAUUGACAAUUUUCAGGAAAUUGUGUGAGUUGUUACUCGGGAUCUUUAAUUGGGAUAAUAACUUUAUAUUUCAUUAAAAAUUAAUACAUAAUAGAAUAAUAUAGGCCUACACAAGUCAUAGGGUCCCUUGGACCACUUCUGACGAAGUUUUGUGACGAUAGAUUUACCUGAUACCAGGUAAAUCCCAACUGUGGGAAACUUACUACUAAGCUUCUAACAUACUUAUUUUCUCUCAUAAUUUCACAACAUAAUCCUAAUUUAUGUUGGAAACUAAAUCAUGAAGUUUUCCUAAUGAAAAUCCAUGAUUCACAAUUCAUUUCCUAACUCCUCUCAGUACCCAUCUAUAACUCGAGUAAGUCGACUUCUUACUCGAGUAAUCCUUUAUACUGGACAAGAGAUUUCACAUAGUUCCAUAUUAUUUAAAAGAAUAAUAGACACAUAUAUAUAAUCAGAGAGCUGAAAUUUGGGAUGUGACAGACGAGACUUUGGUUUCUCUAGGAAAGAGGUUUUCAAUGGGUCUAUGUGGAGUUCGACUCAGUUUGUAGUGCCCAGUUGGUGGGUUUAGGGUGUUCUAGGUCUCAUCCUUGAGUUGUUCUUGUGAAGCAUAUCAAAUUACUUAUGUCAUCCUUCACUCAAGUUUUGUGCAACCAUGUCUUCCGAGAAGCUAAUACAGUUGCGAAUGUCUUUGCUAAGCGUGAUUUAGACUUAUAUAUGCCUUCAAGAGUUUUUUAUGUUAAUCCUAACUUUUGUUCUAUUCAUUUGUUGUUAGAUAGUGUUUCUACAAUUUAUUGUAUAGGUGGGUAGGUUUGUUUAGUUUUCUUGCUGUUUCUUUUUUGUUUCCAUCCUAGGCUGCUGAGCCUUCUUGUAUCACCGGUAAAAAGAUAAUGUAUGUCAUUUAUGACUUUUAGUCAUGUCAUUUUGAUGGAUAUUGUGACAUAUGUUUUUAUUAUGUUGCUUUAGAAUGACAAAUAUAAAGAUAAUUGAAUAUUUAUACUUAGUCAUAAAAUGAACACAAUUGAUUCUUGGAAAUAAUUUGUCUUUUUGUUCAAAUAAUCGUAGAGAAUGAAGUCGAAUUAUUGAAGGUUUAAAAAUAUCUCGUAAUGUCUUUUGAAUCAUUGUUUUAGUUAGAACUCAUAAUUAUUAAAUUUUAUUCAUUGUGAAUAUGUUUAAUAAUUAUAAGUUUAUAACUAAACAAUGACUCAAAAGACAUAACAAUAUAUUUUUAAACCUUCAACAAUUCAACUUCACUCUCUAUGAUUAUUUGAACAAAAAGUCAAAUUAUUUUCAAGAAUCAAUUGUGUUCUUUUUAGGACUAAAUCUAGAUAUUCAAUUAUCAAUAAUUUUGUCAUUCUAAAGCAAAAUAAUAAAAGCAUAUGUCACAAUAUUCAUCAAAAUGUCAUAACUAAAAGUCAUAAAUGAUAUUAAUUAACUAAAACAACUACAUAUUAACUAUGAUCCAAAAGGAUUUAUAGAAAUGUAAUUCCCAGUUAGUUUUAGUUACAUACAUAUAAAUAAAUUGAAGUAUCUCAAAGUAAUACUUUGUUCCUACCAAGGUAUCAGAGGUUAGUUUCAUCCUUAUAGUAAGGUAACCCCAAUACAAAAGAAAAAUAACAUAUGGAGUAGCUUCAUCACCAAUCAUAAAAAAUAUCAACCAUCCAAAAUACCAUUAACUGUUGUUUGCUAUCUGUAUGAUCAUAACACUUACAAUACACAAUAUACAAAAACAAAGAGAGAGUACGUUAUCCUUUUAAGGCACAAUAUGUGUAAUUGUUGAAAACGAGAUUUCAUUAAGCUAGGAAUUCCCCCUUCAACAACAAAACAUGUCACUUUGUUGAAAGGGUUUUCCUAGUUGUUGCAAAUUUAUUUUAUUUUAGAGUGAUGAGUGAUGAACAACUUAUUUAUUUGAUGACUUUAUUUAUUUACUCCCUUUUCGGAUUCCUUUUAACUAUACCAUAAAGGUCGGUCUCAUUUUAUUAAGUUAACCAUACCAUUUCUUAUGAAACAAAAGAAUAAAGUUAGAAGUUAACCGUACCACUUCUUUCAAAGGGUUGGCAUAAAGAAUAAAGAAUAAAGCAAUAAAUAAAUGUUAGUUGCAGAAAUGUAAAUGACCGAAAGUAAAUGUUAGUUGUAGAAAGUAAAUGAUGGAAAGUAAAUGUUAGUGGUUAGAUUAUUAAUAAUCACUCUUCUAUUGUCAAGUAACAAUCCAUUGAUUGGAUUGUACUUUUGCAUAUUAUUCCAAUGUACAAAGUUACAAACCAUGAAUUGGUUUGAACUUAUGUUUUUAGGAAUCUUUUAAUCAAUAAGUAAAAUUUAUAAGUUAAUACUUUACUAUGUUACACUUGCAUCUCUUCUCAAGAUUCAAUUGUAAUAUAAUAUAGGGUUAUGUCAAACCACAAGGAAUUUCCUAAUGGAAAUGUACUCACACUUUAUAUCUUUUAUCAAAAGUAAGAAACACAUAGAUUUGUUUUUGUGAUUUUAUGAACUAAGAAACAUGAAAAAGUAAAGAACUAAUUAUAAACAAAUUAUUAAGGAGAAAAUUGAUUUGAAAGAUGGAAUUAUUUCUAGACUCAAAUGAUUUUUAAAAAUAUUAACAAGUUAUGUGUUAUACUUUCGGUUAAUUCCACACACCAUUUCUAAAUCCUUCCUCUAGUAUCCUAGUAUGAUAAGUGCUACUCGUCGGAGCAGGUUGUCACACCCUACUUCAAGCUCCAUUAACAUCAUUUAGCCUUAAACAUAAGUUUCUUAAAAUAGAUGCUUGAUAUGGAACGUGCACUAAGGUGUAGAUUAUACUUUUUAGUUCACUUGUCAACACUUUAAGAAGAAACAUUUUUAGAUCUUUGAAUCAAGUUUUUGGUGAUCAAAAUAAAACCACAUUAAGAACUUCUUAAAGAAUCAAAACGUAACCGAAGAUAAUAACUUGAAUGUAUUGACAUCAAAAGAUGAUACAAAUGAAGAAAAGAAAUAACCUUACACCAUAAUCCAAAUCAAUGUGUAGGAGCAUGCGCCAUUCAUCCAAGGAUGAGAUUCUUUUGGAACCAAAUGAGAUUACAAAAUUAUGUUUUUGCACCUCAUUUUCCAACUCCUUUCUCCUCUUGAAUUCUAAGAACAAAACACCUAAAAACAACCUAAGAACUUCUCAAGUGAAAGAGAACCGAAAAUGAAAAGAAGAAGACCAAACUACAAAGAAUGUACAAUGUUUACAAUGUGUUAAAGUGAAGGAAUAAGUGUGCCUUUUAUAGGCAAUGUGAAGGAUGCCUGGCCCCCCUUUCUAAGCCGCCCAGCACCUUGGUCAGACGGUUUGGCACACCCAAAGCUAGUGGGUCAACACCUUGUCCCAUCUUGGCCAGCUAGAUUGGACAACCUAUUAUGGGCUAUGUUGCAUGCAUGUUGACACCUCCUACUUCACUGUUCAGAACAUAUGUCAUGCAUGAGGUCAUAUGUUUGGUCUUCAAGUAAUGAAUAUGCAAGUUGCUUGAUGAGUUGGCCAACCUUUCUUCAUGGCUAGGUUUCUUGACCUGCUUGGGCGCCUAGGCCCCCUUUUGGCCCACGCCUGGCUGGUUGGUUGGUUCCUUCAUGGUGAAGGAACCUACCUUUCUUCAAGCCGAACCAACCUUUGUUCCUUAGUUUUUGACUUGAUUUUAGUUGGUUACUUGGCACUUUGAACAAGAUUUCUUCAUGUCUAGGUAAGGUUUUGAGUUUUUCUUUGCUUUGCAUACUUAGCUUAGGUUUCUUCAAGGUGAAGUAAGUUAUUUCUUCAAGCCUAAGUCAUCUGUUUUUGGUGACAAGCUAAGCACACAACAUGCCAUACUUGGCUUGUUUGUUUUGAGCAUUUCCUUUUGAACUUCCGGCUUGUGAUUUGGCAUGAAUUCUUGGUUAUCUUUUGGAUUAAUUCUUUUCAAUCAAUUUCCUAUAAAAUUCAAGAGAAACUUGGACAAGAGUUGAUCAAAAUUUAUAUUAUUUAAACACACAAAAUUUAUCUAAAAAGUGUUGAAUUAAGUUGGUUUUCCCAUUUUUGCAUAUGAUAAGUGUCAUGAAAAGUGUAUGAAAAUUAGGUAUGUUUGACACUUAUCAGUAAUUAUAGAGAAUAAUAGUAUCUUAACACAACAUAAACUAUCAUAACCCAACAUAAAUCAUCAUAGCACAACAUAAACAAUCAUAACUGAGCAUAAACAACCAUAUCAUAAAAUAAAAAGAUAACAUAACAUUUCCCAAACAUGGAACUCAUUCUCAUGAACAUGAUGGGUAAACUACAUAAUGUAUCACAACUAGUUCGAUGUCAAAGGCAAUGUAUGUGGAAUCAUAUUCAACCUUUUACUUUUCAACUCAACUCCCUUUAUUUUUUUAACUCAACUCUUUUAAGAAAGAAAUCGGGAGUAUAACACAUCGUCUAUGAUAUAAUAGAAAUCAUCAAAUACACCUAUCGGACCAAGAGACUAUCGUACCAGGAGCUCUCUCACUGAUCUAGAUAACUCAAAGGGGGUGUCAGAAUCAUUUGGUUAAGUAGGAUUAUCCUGAUCUACAAGGGAUCAGCCUAGACCGUCACUAGACAACCGUAUACAAUCAAUCCUGAAGGUUUUCAUGAAGAAUCACCAUCAUUAACCACCCCUAUUCAUUUCCCAAGAUAUUUCUAUCCUGAAUAUUUCCAUUCCACCACAAUCGUCCCCUAAUGCAAUGAUGAAUAUAUGUCAAACUCAUUUAUACUCAUGUGUCAUAACCAGAUUUACAUUACUUUUUAUGUACAUGUGUAAGUAUAUAUAUAUAUAUAUAUAUAUAUAUACCAUCACCAUCUACCAUUUCGUUUCAUCUAAACCAAGUGCAAAUCAAGAUAAUCACCAUUAAUUAUAAAAUUCUUUCAAACACAACAUUCACACCAUUAACAAGCAUACACUUAGGAUAUCACAACAUUCACAUAAUCUAUCAGACUAUUAACCAAUAUGAGUAUGAGUUUACUAACUAUAAUGUUCUCAAUAUUGAUUCUUAUACAUAAAAAAGUAAACUUAAUACAAGUUUGCAACUGAAUUUGUGGUCAAUGGACCAUGCAAUGACACAAGACCACGAACACAAUGGCCAAUAAUAUACUCUCUCACCUUAGGUGUUUUGGUUAGGUAUUUGAGCUCCGCGUAAGCCUCAUUGUGUUCCUCCAACAAUAGACCCAAUUCCUAAUGACAUCAACAUCACAAUCUCAUAACUAGUGCUAAUUAAUAGAAGCUCUCACAACACAAAAACCUCAUAAAAAAUUAUUUGGUAAACGGCUACACCUAAACAAGAGUUAUCUUGAUAAACCAUUUUUACACAUAAACUGAUGCAACAUUAGAAUUUAGGCCACAAGAAGGUACACAAUUUUGUAUAUACUAAUUUAACAUAAAACCAAUUUAUUAUUAGAAACUAAAUAGAAAGGGGGGAAACUAACCCUAAUCAAAAUAAAGUUAUCAUAGGCAUAUGAAAUUAUAGUUAUAGAUUAACAUGCAGUGAUCACAAUAUAUUUCAUUAUUGAUGCUUAUAAAUACCCAAGCUUAAGAAUGGAGAAGAAAAGAAAAACACCAACAAAAUUUAACUCACCUAUUUUCUACACUUUCACUCAAUAGAAAGAGAGAGAAAUAGAGAAAGAAAAAGAGGAAGAUACACUAAAAUGAGAAAGAUGUGAGGAACUCACCAACUUUCUCCUUCUCCUCCUCCAAAAGUCACAUUCAAGUUUUGCAAAGAAAAAGGGAGUGAGUCUUCUUUCAAUUUUAUUCUUUCUUCCAAAUCAAUUAGGACUCCAUUUAAUCAAUUAAUAAAGGUCUUCCAUAUUAUUAUUCCAAUAAUUUAUAUUUGCCACAAAACUAUUUAGAUUGAAUAGGAUAUUUACUAAAAGUAUCUUCAAUAUAUCAUUAUACUCACAUUAUGAAAUAUGUAGGUAUUACAAUCCUUCCCACCAAACAAAAAUUUUGUCCCUGAAAUUUAACUCAUACAUUCCUCAUCCCUUUCACUCCAAAUCACUUUCACUAGAGAAAUCUUUUUCCCUCAUAGUUGCUUCACACUAUGAUCAAGAAUCCCCAUAGAUAACAUCCUAAAAGUAAGCCUUUCUUUCAAUUGUAUAACAUCUGGUUCAAUCACAUGCCAAGGAUCACGACUGUACUUCCUAAGUUGUGAUACAUGGAGUACAUUGUGGAGAUUUGAAAGAAUUAGUUGUAAUGCGAUCUGAUACACGUCAUGACCAAUCUUCUUAAGGAUUUUGUAAGGACCAAUGAAUCUUGUAGUAUGAUUUCGAGAUUUUAGGAUGCUACCAAUUCUAGUAGUCGGAACUACUCCCAUGAAAACAUGGUCAUCUUCUUUAAAGUCGAGGGGCUUCCUCCUUUUGUCAAAGUAGCUCUCCUACGUUUUUGAACAAUCUUCAUGUUUUCUCUUAUCAUCUUGAUCUUCUCCAUAGUUUGUUGUACCACAUCGGGUCCCAACACUAGAUGUUCACCUGUUUCAAACAACACAAGGGAGUUAUACACUUUAUUCCAUACAAAGUUUCAAAGGGUGUCAUUCCAAUGCUAGAGUGAUAAAUCUUAUUGUAAAUAAAUUCCAUCAAAUGCAAUAAUUUAUCUCAAUUUCUAGGUUGUUAUUGCGCACAAGCUCCGAGAAGAUCAUCCAAUGAUUGAAUUGUCCUAUGUAAUAGCUCAUCGGUUUGUGGAUGGUAGGUUGAACUCAACUUUAACUUGGUACUCAAAGCGGCUUGCAAACUAUUUAAAAAGUUUGAUAUGAAAGGAGAUCUCUAUUGGAUAUGAUGCUUGAUCGAAAACCAUGAAUUUUAACAAUCUCCUUGAUUUAUAAGUGCAUGACUAUGUCAUCAAGUAAUAAAAUAUUGAUCCCACUAGGACUGGAAAAUUCCUUUAAUUUAUACUUAACUCAAAUAAGGUAUAAAAAAAUUUAAUUUAGAACAAUUGAAGAUUUGACAAGAAUAAUUAUGAAAAUAUUAAAAAGGAUUAAAAUCUAAUUUAGGAAGAGUUCCCAAUAUAAGGGUUACCGCCUUUACACUCGCAAAUCCUUGUUUUACUCAUUUUCAUGAACUUUAAGUUAUGAGGUUGAAUGGCUUUUUGAUAUGUUUCGUCCUCUCUCGAGCUCCGACACAUGUACUCAAUUGAAGUCACACCUAUUCUCGUGGUACGAUUAUCAAUGGAGUCAUUUACUUGGAUCUUUCUAUCCAAUUGCUUUGUAGCAACCCAAGGUGAAUUCCAGAAACCCCUGAGAAUCCUAAGACUACUCUCGUGAAUUAGGAUUCUAGUUUGAAUAACUGAAGGGUCGGAUAGUUGGGUUUACCUCUCGGUUCUUCCCAAAUGUAUCUAAGAGGUUUAAUCAUUUGAUCAGACAACUCACAUGAAUAAAACUCAGUUUGAUGAUUCAAAUCACAAUACUGAGUGAAAUAGAAGUAUGAAGAUUUUUUUAUUGAAUGUAAAAUGGCAUAACCCCAAUCCUAGAAACAAAGGGAAAUACUAACUCAUAAUGGAGAAGAGUAUACCAAAUUCUAAAUUAGAGAAUUUUAAUGUAAAAGUGUGUUAAAUCCUUGAGGGAGAACCUUUAUUUAUCCUAGUUACAAAUAUUGGGCUAAACCCAACAAAACAAAUCUAAAAAAUAGGAAUAUAAUGUAACAUCUACGAACAUGGGUGUAUGCGGUGUCUUUAUUUCAAGUUGCUUCUCUUCGAUCUCGUCUCCAAGGCAACUUCUUUUGGCCAUUCAAUUGGUCUUCGCAUAACCAAAACACCAAAUUCCAUCUUCUUGCAUUCAAUCUCUACUCGUUUUGGCUUCAAUCCACCCAAACUGCAUAACAUAGCUAAAAACACCCGCUCAACCCGAACAAAGAGAAAUAAAAACUAAAAACAAUCAUAAAGUCCGAAUUAAGUCCUAAAAUGUAAGUUAAAUGCAAUGCAAGUGUAACAUAAUUUCACACUCAUCAAAUCUCCUCAAGCUUAUCUCGCUUCUCCUCAAGCAAGUAUUAUGUCUAACUUUUACAAUCAUGAUUGAAUGACGAUUUAGAAACCAUGAUCCAAAGUAAGAAGAAAUCUUAUGAUAGUUUUGAUACAUUCUAGACAUUAUGACAAGACAAUCCUAAACAAAUUUAAUUUAUGCUAAUCUUUGAGUUAUAACGAUUACGUGAAUCAGGGUCACUCUUCUCCCAUCGCUCUCAUGUGUUUAAAGGUCUUAGUGUAUAGCUCAAAAAAUUUCAUGAAAGUAAAUUACCAUAGACUUGAUUAUAUUCCGAAUCGCCAUCGACUAUAUUUGAAUGCGUGAAAAAAUCUAGAGGUCUUUAAAUGGUUGUAAUGGGGCCAAGGUGAAUGAUUUAAGGUGGGAUAGACAAAGAAAGGGUAAUUCAAAAGACUUACAAUUGUUUCCUAAAAUACUUAAACAUUUUAGACAUCUGAUUGAAGUAUUGAGAUUUUCUUAAUGGGCCUUACUUUAUCAUAUGAUCCUUUUCGAUCAACCAUUCUCAUUCUUAUGAUUUUCUUAAAGAGAGAGGAUGAAUGUUUUUCUUCUUUUUCACCUUUUUAUGAAUUCUUUCACUACACAUGGCCUUUUUACCUUUCCCAUUGCUUCAACCAAACAUCACAAAUUACUCCAAACCCUCAUUUGAGUAGCUAUGAAAAACAGUAAAUUUCAGGCUCAAAAGUGGGCAACUAAUCAGUUUUCAUUGCUUAUAGCAAGCGGUUGAAGGUCAAAAGAAAUAGUCAUAAUUGUCACUAUCAUUUUAAUGCACACAAACAGAAUUCAAUCUUGAAACAAUCAGAAAUCAAGUUCUAGAAUGUAGAAUCAUAGAAAAUUAUGCACUCAUGAAAUAAAAAGGGUGUUUAUGCAAUUGUCAAUUCAAAUUAGAUCCCUUAUUGUGUUUGACCCAAUUUCUCACAUUUGCUACAUUCAACAAAAGUUAUGAAUCAAAGACAUUUAUUUAACGAAAUUUAAUUCACAAAUGUCAAAUCUAAUGUCUUUCAUGUAAUUAUUCUAUCAAAAGUUUUUUUCUUAAAUAGAGGUUACAAAUCAACAAUAAUCAUUCAUGCAUAAUUUUUCAUUUAAAGUAGACAAACAACACAUAGAACAAAGCAGAUGAUAGAUGAGAUAUGAAACAUAUGCUAAUGUAUGAUAAUAUGAAUAUUCAAUCUAAAAAAUUUAUUAGGUAUGCAUGACAUGAAUGAACUAUCUAAAUGCAAAACCCCCUCAAGCAUAGAAAUUUAGAUUGUCCCCAAUAUAAAAAUCUAAACAAUAAGAGAAAGAAAAAGGAAACUCACAGGUUAAGUAGGAAGUGUCCCUGACUUAUGUGCCAAUUAUAAGUGGUCGGCUUCAUUGAGUGCAGCGGAAGUACCUACAAAAGAAGAGAAAAAAGGUCUCAAAUGACCUAUAUGUCCUAGAUGGACUAGGUGCAAACAUCCAUUUUGAAGAGGGCAGUUGAUAGGCACGGUCAUGCUAGCUCUUUUCCCUAUAAUGUUUUUUAGACAUUAUGGUUUUUUUGGUGGUUGACACUAUAUACAUUCCCCUACAAAGGCUCCAAACUCAGGGAGGAACUAAAGUCGACACAAACACACUAAAAUUAAUGAAUUUAAAAAUGUACCUCCAGUGUGGGUUGCCUCACACGAAGUGCUUGUUUAACGUCAUUAGCUUAACGAUUGAUCAUUGUGUAUCAUGCAGGAUCCCAUGAACUCAUACCCGAUGCUGGAGGGGUUCGUUUUACUUUCAUUUCAUAUGAUUUCCCUUUCUCUCAACUAUCAGAUUUAGGUAUGACCGUCAAGCUCUCCUCAUGCGAGUUGCAUGAGAGUGUUGAGCUUAUAUUUAUAGAUUCACUACCCUCGGC
rnacentral:lncRNA from 1 species